GGCGAACGCUGGCGGCGUGCUUAACACAUGCAAGUCGAACGGACAGGCCCUGCUCUUGUGGGGUUCUCGAUUGGCGCACGCGUGAGUAACACGUGUGUAUCCCGUCCUUGACUUUGGGAUAACAUCACGAAACUGCGGCUCAUACCGGAUAGAAUCUACUGCUGCACGUUGGGCGUUGGAAAGUUCCGGCGGUGGUGGCUGUACUCGCGGGUUAUCGGCUUCUUGGUGGGGUAGGGGCUGACAAAGGCUUUGAGGGAUAGCCGACCUGAGAGGGUUGCCGGCGACAUGGGGACUGAGAGACGGCGCAGACGCCUACGGGAGGCAGCAGUGGGGAAUAUGGCACAAUGGGCGGAAGCCUGAGGCAGCAACGCCGCGUGCGGGAUGACGGCCUACGGGUUAUGAACCGCUUUCGCAGGUGACGAAGCGUGAGUGACGGUAAUGGGUAAAGAAGCACCGGCUAACUACGUG
rnacentral:rRNA from 1 species